rnacentral:rRNA from 1 species
GACGUAGGGUGCGAGCGUUAAUCGGAAUACUGGGCGUAAAGCGUGCGCAGGCGGUGAUGUAAGACAGUUGUGAAAUCCCCGGGCUCAACCUGGGAACUGCAUCUGUGACUGCAUUGCUGGAGUGCGGCAGAGGGGGAUGGAAUUCCGCGUGUAGCAGUGAAAUGCGUAGAUAUGCGGAGGAACACCGAUGGCGAAGGCAAUCCC